CAGAACUUCCCAACGUCACUGUACGGUCCCAUUAACCUCCACAUAUGCAGCCUACUUCCAUAGGCCUCUAAGAAGGAUAUGCUUUUGGGGAAGCCAAGGUUCCCAUAUGAUGGCUCUAAGUUUGGGCACUUUUAUUUAUACCUACCCCUGGAUCUAAUUUCCUUGUAGAAAAACUCGACUUUCCUACUGGUUCUUAUACUUUCCGACUUCCCCCUACUCAAGGAACGUGUUCACCUACCGCCUCGUCCUGAGCUCUCGCUUUAGUGUUCUCACCUCCCUUGACCACCGGGCUCCUCGCCACUACUCACUUUGGGCUUUUCAGGCAGCUUCUUCCGGUUCUUUUUCUUUUGCUCCUCGCUUCUGAGAUUCUUCAGUUGGGCUGGGUCCUCGGGGGCCGGAGUCGGCGGGGUCACCUCCUCCCGCUUGCGGGGCGGGCUCCUUCGCUUUUUGCGGGCGCCGGCGCAAGCAGCGGCCCAGCCGUAACCUAGGAGGAAGAGAAGCAGCAACCCGAGAGCGCCGGUGCCCACCAGGAUCACCCAGCUCGGGUACCGCUUCGGCUCCAACCCCAGGUCGAGGCCCAACUCCGUGCGCAGAAAACCUAGGCCGACAGAGAGCAACUCCCGCAGCCGGGCAGAGCCCUCCUCGGCCUGCUGAGCCAGUUCGUCCUGCCAGCUUCGUGCAGCCAUCUUCCCUCCCGUCAGAGACUCUCGGGAUGACGCCGGGGAGCACAGACGCCGCUGGAACAGUCGUGGGAAGCGACGAGGGCCGCGACACCUCAGGCCAAGCGCAU
rnacentral:lncRNA from 1 species